GCCGGCGUAACUCAGUUGGUAGAGUAGUUGAUUCGUAAUCAACAAGUCAGCAGUUCAAAUCUGCUCGUCGGCUCCA
rnacentral:tRNA from 1 species